GCACUGCUGAGGAGUCCCACAAUAGGACGAAACACCCAUCCAGUGC
rnacentral:hammerhead_ribozyme from 1 species